rnacentral:rRNA from 1 species
GACGAACGCUGGCGGCGUGCCUAAUACAUGCAAGUCGAGCGAUGAAGCUUGGUGCUUGCACCAAUUUGAAGAGCAGCGAACGUGUGAGUAACGCGUGUGGAAUCUGCCUUUGAGCGGGGGACAACAUUUGGAAACGAAUGCUAAUACCGCAUAACAACUUUAAACAUAAGUUUUAAGUUUGAAAGAUGCAAUUGCAUCACUCAAACAUGAUCCCGCGUUGUAUUAGCUAGUUGGUGAGGUAAAGGCUCACCAAGGCGAUGAUACAUAGCCGACCUGAGAGGGUGAUCGGCCAAACUGGGACUGAGACAAGGCCCAAACGCCUACGGGAGGCAGCAGGAGGGAAUCUUGGGCAAGGGACGAAAGUCUGACCGAGCAACGCCGCGUGAGGGAAGAAGGGUGUCGGAUCGUAAAACUCGGUUGGUAGAGAAGAAAGUUGGUGAGAGUGGAAAGCUCAUCAAGUGACGGUAACUACUCAGAAAGGGACGGCUAACUACGUG